GAGCUUAACAACUCCCAAACCCCUGUGAACAUACCACCGUUGCUUCGGCGGGUACGCCCCGGGCGCGCGCAAGCGUGCCCCGGAACCAGGCGCCCGCCGGGGGAAACAAACUCUUGUCUUACUUUUGUAUCGUCUGAGUGGAUUAUUAAAUAAAUCAAAACUUUCAACAACGGAUCUCUUGGCUCU
rnacentral:misc_RNA from 1 species